UAUCGAUACAUAACUUGCAUUUUUUUACUUUCGCUUCACGUUUGGGAACCGAAAAUUACAAUUUUCGUAGUUCUUCUCGUGAUAAAAAGUUAUGUGGAUCACAUGGGACGACGUAAAGACAUUCAACCCGUGCGAUUGCGGCCCUUGCCUCCGGCGCGGGCAGCAACUCUCGCACACGGUUGAAUUUCUUUACUUUCGUCCCUUGUGAUCCAAAUAACUAU